rnacentral:rRNA from 1 species
GACGAACGCUGGCGGCGUGCUUAACACAUGCAAGUCGAACGCUGAAGCCCAGCUUGCUGGGUGGAUGAGUGGCGAACGGGUGAGUAACACGUGAGUAACCUGCCCCCUUCUUUGGGAUAACGCCCGGAAACGGGUGCUAAUACUGGAUAUUCACUGAUCUUCGCAUGGGGGUUGGUGGAAAGGUUUUUUCUGGUGGGGGAUGGGCUCGCGGCCUAUCAGCUUGUUGGUGGGGUGAUGGCCUACCAAGGCUUUGACGGGUAGCCGGCCUGAGAGGGUGACCGGCCACACUGGGACUGAGACACAGCCCAGACUCCUACGGGAGGCGGCAGUAGGGAAUCUUCCGCAAUGGACGAAAGUCUGACGGAGCAACGCCGCGUGAGUGAAGAAGGUUUUCGGAUCGUAAAACUCUGUUGUUAAAGAAGAACAAGGAUGAGAGUAACUGCUCAUCCCCUGACGGUAUUUAACCAGAAAGCCACGGCUAACUACGUGCCAGCAGCCGCGGUAAUACGUAGGUGGCAAGCGUCGUCCGGAUUUAUUGGGCGUAAAGCGAGCGCAGGCGGUUCUUUAAGUCUGAUGUGAAAGCCCCCGGCUCAACCGGGGAGGGUCAUUGGAAACUGGAGAACUUGAGUGCAGAAGAGGAAAGUGGAAUUCCUAGUGUAGCGGUGAAAUGCGUAGAUAUUAGGAGGAAUACCGGUGGCGAAGGCGACUUUCUGGACUUUUACUGACGCUCAGGUACGAAAGCGUGGGGAGCAAACAGG